GGUACUUUGGCCGAGGGGUCUAAGGCGUUGGGUGUAAGCCCCUUUCCCAUGAGGAGCGUGGGUUCGAAUCUCACAGGUACCA